CUCCCACUGUUCACCACCAAAACUCUUCCUAUAUGUAAACAGUUGUUUAGCACACUGUUGUCUAUAUUUGAAUGGGUAAUUUUUAGGCUGCAACCAAUUAUCUUAAUUAAAUAAUGUUCUAGAUUAAUUUGAUAAAAUGCCACAUUUUUUCUUUAUUUUUAUUUUCCGCAUCUACUUACAGAUGUGAGUCUCAAUGUUCUCUGCACACAACUGCUUACAAUAGUGUUUCGAUUGCUGUCUGUGUGAAAAAGUAACUAUAUGAACAAGUAACUAAAGUCAAGCAGUAUUUAAAUUGUAUUUAUUUACAGAGGUAUAUGAAGUCACACUUGUCUGUGUGUGAAUAUGUUGUGCAGCACAAAUCCAUGAAUGAAUGUUCUUGAAGUGAGUUAAACUUCAACAGAUAUCCCCUGCUAAGGGAGUAGGGAGCAAUGAACACUUUGUAGGGACCAUGUCAAUGGGAACACAGGUUAUGCACAGAGCUCUCUUCUAACGAGCUGAUUAUCUGAAUCAAAAAGAGAGACUUACAAAAAUAUGUAGAGCUGGUGGGCACGGGGACUGGAACUGAGAACCGCUGCUCUAAUUAAAGGAAAGUAGUAUAGUAAAGUAUUAUCAAAGAUGGCGACAUCCAUACAAUUAAAAGUCUUCUGUUAAAUCUGAACCAGCAGCAUCUUUUAUAACUUGGAGUAGAUAGGAUUAUUUGGGUCACAUACAGAGUACAAAACUUGAAAGUAGCGGAGAAAAUGCUUCAGUAAAGAAAUAUUAUUUGCAGUUUGCUCUGACAGAUGUGUGUGGACCUGAGUCAUGUUUCUCCAGAGCACAACUUACAUUUGAUGGUAGAGUCCUUGUCUAAUUUUGGAAAUAAUUGAAGAGAAUAGGAGUGCAAUGAUUCUGACUACAAUUUACGUUGUACUAAAAUAUUUAUUUUAAAUGUAGGUUUAAUAUUCUAUGUUAUAUUUAUGAGAGCAUUAAAUGUAAAGGAGUAUACAUGUAACUACUACAGUUACUACACGUAAAACAAUUGCUAUGUUAAAUUUAUUAUUUUCAGAAUAUACGGGUAUAUUAACGUGAAUGCAUGUUCCCCAUAACAGUUAACAUUUAAUGGGUGUUUUGUUUUUAGGAUUUUUUAUAUGUUUUAUGCUUUAAAAUGGCAAGCAAAGAGUUUUUUUGUUUUACAAUGUCAUGUUUGUAUUUUAACCCUUUUUUUGGCUAAUGUGUAGCACAACUUACAUAAAUACAUUCACUAUAUUUGUUUUCUUUGACUUCAGUUUUCACAUUGUUUGGACGACAAAAUCGGGAAGGAUGUAGGGGCACACAGUUUGGGCACACAUACACAGUUCAUCUUUGGACACCCUAGGACAACAUCCUUAGCACAGAUCUACCUAUAGCCCUCCAUCAUUCCCACAUCCAUCUUGCAACAGUUUCAUUAAGUGCAGUCCAUAACCAGUUCACAGUCUACACCUUGUCCAUUGCAAAUGUUAUGGAUUAUUCUAAUAAAGAUCUUUCUAUUAUUUUUUUUGAGACAGUUAUUAUGUACUCUGUUAUGUUGUGAAUAAAGUCAGCCCCCCCCCCACCUCGAUGCUUUCAGCAGUUAAUAGAUUAAAGUGUGUCCUUAAUGUUUUAUUAUUUAAAGAUUGUUUUAAAGUUUAUUACAGGCUCAGUUUAUUUUUUUUCACUAGAAAAUAAAGUGGAGUAUUAACUGUCAUAAUCAAGUAUGAGACUUUUGUCAGUAUCAUUAAUUCUAUGAGGCAAUAUGAAUCAAAUUAACAUUUGUAUAGGGUUUUCAUCCGAAGGCUUCUUCCUUAUUUAGUUAAACAUCAAGGGUUUUCUAUGCCUUUGUCACCUUUUACUUUCUCAUUGGAAAUUAUGAGCAUCAUUAUUUGGAAGAAAAUAAGAAUAUGAAAAUGGCUUUGAUUUCAAUGUAUUGAAUGGAAUCAAAGAACCACACAAACCUUUGACCUUCACAAAGACAUUGUAUAAAUUAAAGUGUUACUCAAAUUA